CAGGCCUUGACAUGCACUAGACAGACGCUGAAAGGCGUUCUCCCUUCGGGGCUGGUGCACAGGUGCUGCAUGGCUGUCGUCAGCUCUUGUCCUGAGAUGUUGCGUUAAGUCCCGCAACGAGCGCAACCCCUGUCCUUAGUUGCCAUCAUUCAGUUGGGCACUCUAGGGAGACAAACCCUCUUUGAGGGUGGGAAGGUGGGGAUGACGUCAAGUCAGGACGGCCCUUACGGCCUGGGCUGCACACGUACUACAAUGCCCGGUACGAGGGAAGCAAUACCGCGAGGUGGAGCAAAUCCUCAAAACCGGGCCCUGUUCAGAUUGUAAUCUGCAACUCGACUACGUGAAGUUGGAAUCACUGAUAAUGGGGCAUCACCUACGGCGCCGUGAAUA
rnacentral:rRNA from 1 species